ensembl:lncRNA
CUAGGAUUCAAAUUAUCAAACUGAUGAGCUGUCCUGGAUUUUGUCCUUCGUGGGGUGAAUUAGUUGGACUGAAACACACACACACACACACACACACACACACACACACACACACACGGAAGAAAUUUCUUGAGACCUGUGGGACACAUACAGGAAUAGUUAUGCUAAUUAGGCAUUAAUGCUUUCAGGAUCAGGCCUCAGCAUCUCAGCAUUUUUAGGAUUCAGGCAGAUCUCUCACAAUUUUUCCUGGACGGCCAUGCAGAUGAGGACCAUCAGAUGAAAUGCUGAAUUUAGGAGCUCUCCUGGGAGUGGAGCUGAACUGAGUGGUAAUGGAGCAGUGAGAACUCUGAAGCUCUGGAAGGAGAGUGUGCGAAUGGGUGUUCCUGGCUCAAAAGUGAGUCUCUGGAAAAGGCACUGCAGACACUGGUCAGUCAGGGUAGAGGGAGUUAGCAAGGAAGCUAUGGCAUUUCCCAGUGACAUCACCGGUAGGGUCUUCCCUGGAAAUUCUCUUGUAUCCAGGAGAACCCUAGAACCUUCUGUGAUGUCACCAGUGUUGUGGUGACACCAACUGCCUGAGCGAUUUCCCUUCAUUUCCUAAUGGGUUCCCGAGGAGGCAUGUUCUCCAGGAUCCUCAGUCUCUUUCGGAGGGACAAUCAUAUCCAUGCAGAGACCAGACCAAGGCAGAGGGAGGCCAGCCUUCUAGCACGUUGGAGAACAAGACGAAUGGAAAGGUCCUGGAGGAGGACAAGUGAGUACUGGGCAGGGGUAGGGGAGCUUCCUGGAGGAGGUCGGUUUGAGCUGGUCCUUCCAGGACGAGGACGUAUGAUUUGGAGCCUCAGUCUUCCUAAAUGGCUGACCCAAAUCAAAAAUUUCUGAUCAUUAGUUUGACAGAUAGCCAAAAAUUGAUAUAUGACAAUGGGCUUCUGUUGGACCUCUUUAAUGUCAUGGGGAGUGUCAAAGAAUACCAGGAUGAGCCUCUGUAAGAAUAACAAACUGUCUCUCUAAGGAUAGGCUGUUGAAGCACUUCAUUCUCAGCAGUGUCCUGUAGGUUACGUGGGUAAUUGACGCCAAGAGGGAUACUCUCCUGGUCAUAUAUCAAGGUCUCAGUUACUUUGAAGUCACAUGAUAAGGGAUUCACGAUGUUAAGCAGUUUGGACUCUAGGACUUAC